UGCUAAUCUAUAAAAAUAGCUUAAUUAAAAAUCAAAACGUAACAAUAUGAAUCAAAUCAUCUAAAUCACGUAUAUGCAAUCAAAUAUCAAAACGAUAAAUGAGUAUAAAGCCGAAAAAAGAAAUAUAGCAUUAAAAUUCUCGUUUUGAAACAUCGAUUGAUGAGGAGGCCAAAAAUGAAGAGCAACUGAGAGCUUUCCCUAAAGAUAUGAUCAUGAUAAGAAGAAAUUGUGGAAAAAAGAACGGCAAUAAAAAAAAAUCGGAUUGAAACGUGGCCAACAGAUUGAGAUCUGUUUGUUGUGCAUAUAUCGACCUGAAUGCAUAUGUUCCGAUAUCAGUCAGAUCCUAUGCAUACAUAACCUCGAAGAAAAAUUAUGUUACGCUUCGAUGUCAUUUCUUUCUGAUCUAAUAAUAUAUUUCAAGACAAAAAGUUUUAUAUUUACAGAUUUUAUGCAGCAAGUUCUAAAGCAAGUUUCUUUACAAAUAUGAAUGAGAUAUAUUAUUAAUUCUGAUUGAAUUAUAUUAGACUUGACAAUUUCAUUAAGGAAAAUUUGUACUAUAUAAUCAAAAGAAUUGAAUUUAAAAAAGUCGAAAAUGUAUACUCCAUUUGUAUACUCGUAAAAUAUAACAGAUUCCUGCCAGUUAUUCGUCUACUUUUUAAUAUGAACGACCGUGUUUCUCGUCCAGAACGAGUUUUAUUUUGUACAUUUUUUCUGAUUUUAUGGGUCGAAGAAAUCUUCGGUAGUUCUGAUUGAAUAUAAUGAUUUUAAAGAACAAGAUCAAAAACGAAUUAAUCAAAACAAAAUGAAAGAAAGAAUACUUUGAAAAAAAAAAAAAAAAUAAAUGCGAUCAUCUCGAUCGACAAAGUAUUUCAGAAGGUUGGAUCACAGUAGUCGAAGCCACGCGUAUUACGAGAAGGGGAGGCGGUUAUAGAGGAGCUGAGGAAAAAAGAAAGAAGGAGGAUGGACUGGUCCCGUAAUUGAAUGUGCCGAGGUGUAUGAUUUCGUCGAUUUAUCCUGAGGCGCGAGCGAGCCGCGGCUAAUUUAAGCUAAAUGCCCGCCAGUAAACGCAGCCGUGGCCUGAUAAGUUCCCUUGAUUUAAACGGUUCCGAGACACGGUCAGAAGCAUCGACUCUCUGUACUUUCGCGUCGUUAAGGAAACUAAUUAAACGGCAGGGCCACCGUCGAUGAGCUUCUCUCUUUUCUCCCUAUCCGCGUUUCAUCCCCACGCGUAUGCAAAGAAACCGCUAAAGCGACAAGGCGAAUGAAGGGAAAAAACGAACAGGUAUAACCCCGAGUGUAUACUUAGCCACGGUUAUUCUAUAUCUAAUUAUCGUCUUACGCGGUCUAUUAUCGACGAUUAUUAAGGAUCACGCGCCUCGAUCAUCGACAAUCGAUUGCCUCGAGACAUAUAAAUCUGCGAGAACGGCUGGGUGCAAGCUUGUUAUCAAAAUCUAUUAUGUUUUCCGUAAUUUGAACGGCGUCCCGAUCGUUCCGUUUUAAUUGCGACCCGAUGGUAGAAGGAUCGUGAUUAGGGAGGGAGCGAAUGUUCUCUUUUCUACGAAGAAAUUGCUCCCUUGUCGUUCACCGGAUAAGAUUUCUUGAUUUAAGAGACUCGUAAUUAAAUAGUAGCCCGCCUAUCAUCAUCGCUACCGUUUGUCGUUUCGUGACUAUCGAGAAAUUCCACGAAAAUUUUUUAAAAAUUAUAUACUCGUUGAACAGAAGCUUUAGAAAUUUCAUGAUCAAGUAAGAUUCAAGGAGAUAGUAAUGAGAUACACGGUUUGUAAUAAAAUAAAAAAAUUUUCUUGCAUGCUUUAAAUAUACUUACAUUAAUUUCGAAAUGAAAAUUUUUAAAUCUAAAAUCAAUUUUCUUCAUUACAUUAGU